rnacentral:rRNA from 1 species
UACGUAGGAUGCGAGCGUUAUUCGGAUUUAUUGGGCGUAAAGCGUGCGUAGGCGGCUGUUUAAGUCUGGUGUUAAAGCUAGGGGCUCAACCCCUGUGGUGCAUCGGAUACUGGGCAGCUUGAGUGCGGUAGGGGAAGGUGGAAUUCCGGGUGUAGCGGUGGAAUGCGUAGAGAUCCGGAAGAACACCGGAGGCGAAGGCGGGUCUCUGGGCAACAACUGACGCUGAGGAGCGAAAGCGUGGGGAGCGAACAGG